UACGUAGGGGGCUAGCGUUGUCCGGAAUCAUUGGGCGUAAAGAGCGUGUAGGCGGUCCGGUAAGUCCGCUGUGAAAGUCGGGGGCUCAACCCUCGAAUGCCGGUGGAUACUGUCGGGCUAGAGUGCGGAAGAGGCGAGUGGAAUUCCUGGUGUAGCGGUGGAAUGCGCAGAUAUCAGGAGGAACACCGAUGGCGAAGGCAGCUCGCUGGGACGGUACUGACGCUGAGGCGCGAAAGCGUGGGGAGCGAACAGG
rnacentral:rRNA from 1 species